rnacentral:rRNA from 1 species
AGAGUUUGAUCCUGGCUCAGGAUGAACGCUGGCGGUAUGCCUAACACAUGCAAGUCGUACGAGAGUUUUUAACUCUAGUGGCGGACGGGUGAGUAACACGUGAGAAUUUGCCUUUAGGAGGGGGAUAACAAUUGGAAACGAAUGCUAAUACCCCAUAUGCUUUCGAGUGAAAUGGAUUUAUAUUUAUCCGCCUAGAGAGAAGCUCGCGGCUGAUUAGCUUGUUGGUAAGGUAAGAGCUUACCAAGGCGACGAUCAGUAUCUGGUUUGAGAGGACGAUCAGACACACUGGAACUGAGACACGGUCCAGACUCCUACGGGAGGCAGCAGUGGGGAAUUUUCCGCAAUGGGCGAAAGCCUGACGGAGCAAUACCGCGUGAGGGAAGACUGCCUAUGGGUUGUAAACCUCUUUUUUCAGGGAGGAACAAAAUGACGUGUACCUGAAGAAUAAGCAUCGGCUAACUCCGUGCAGCAGCCGCGGUAAGACGGAGGAUGCAAGUGUUAUCCGGAAUCACUGGGCGUAGAGCGUCUGUAGGUGGUUUAAUAAGUCAACUGUUAAAUCUUGUUGCUCAACUUCAAAAUCGCAGUCGAAACUAUUAGACUAGAGUAUAGUAGAGGUAAAGGGAAUUUCCAGUGGAGCGGUGAAAUGCGUAGAUAUUGGAAAGAACACCGAUGGCGAAAGCACUUUACUGGGCUAUUACUAACACUCAGAGACGAAAGCUAGGGUAGCAAAUGGGAUUAGAUACCCCAGUAGUCCUAGCCGUAAACUAUGGAUACUAGAUGUUGAACAGAUCGACCUGUGCAGUAUCAAAGCUAACGCGUUAAGUAUCCCGCCUGGGAAGUAUGCUCGCAAGAGUGAAACUUUAAGGAAUUGACGG